rnacentral:misc_RNA from 1 species
GAUGAAGAACGUAGCGAAAUGCGAUAAGUAAUGUGAAUUGCAGAAUUCAGUGAAUCAUCGAAUCUUUGAACGCACAUUGCGCCCCUUGGUAUUCCGAGGGGCAUGCCUGUUCGAGCGUCAUUAAGUCCACUUAAGCCCUGCUUAGUGUUGGGAGACUGCUCCAGCGGUGCUACCCUGUAGCUACCCUGCAGCUCCUCAAAGACAGCGGCGGAGUUGUGGUAUCCUCUGAGCUUAGUAACUUGUUCUAGCUUUCGAGUACACCACUUCCCCUGCCGUAAAACCCUUAAUUUUUAAUGGUUGACCUCGGAUCAGGUAGGAAUACCCGCUGAACUUAAGCAUAUCAAUAAGCGGAGGA